rnacentral:rRNA from 1 species
AGGGUUUGAUCCUGGCUCAGAGUGAACGCUGGCGGCGUGCUUAACACAUGCAAGUCGAACGGUAACAGAGAGAGCUUGCUCUUUGCUGACGAGUGGCGCACGGGUGAGUAAUAUAUAGAUAACGUGCCUCUUAGUCUGGAUAGCCAUUGGAAACGAUGAUUAAUACUAGAUACUCCUUCUCCUUCUAAUUGGAGUUGGGAAAGUUUUUCGCUAAGAGAUCGGUCUAUAUCCCAUCAGUUAGUCGGUAGUGUAAGAGACUACCAAGGCAAUGACGGGUAGCGGGUUUGAGAGGAUGAUCCGCCACACUGGUACUGAGACACGGACCAGACUCCUACGGGAGGCAGCAGUGAGGAAUAUUGCACAAUGGAGGAAACUCUGAUGCAGCAACGCCGCGUGGAGGAUGACGCAUUUCGGUGUGUAAACUCCUUUUAUAAGGGAAGAAAAUGACGGUACCUUAUGAAUAAGCACCGGCUAACUCCGUGCCAGCGGCCGCGGUAAUACGGAGGGUGCAAGCGUUACUCGGAAUCACUGGGCGUAAAGGACACGUAGGCGGGAUGCCAAGUCUGAUGUGAAAUCCUAUGGCUUAACCAUAGAACUGCAUUGGAAACUGGUAACCUAGAGUAUGGGAGGGGGAGAUGGAAUUAGUGGUGUAGGGGUAAAAUCCGUAGAUAUCACUAGGAAUACCGAAAGCGAAGGCGAUCUCCUGGAACAAUACUGACGCUAAGGUGUGAAAGCGUGGGGAGCAAACGGGAUUAGAUACCCCGGUAGUCCACGCCCUAAACGAUGAACACUAGUCGUCGGAAUGCUAGUCAUUUUCGGUGAUGCACUUAACAGAUUAAGUGUUCCGCCCUGGGGAGUACGGUCGCAAGAUUAAACUCAAAGGAAUAGACGGGGACCCGCACAAGUGGUGGAGCAUGUGGUUUAAUUCGAAGAUUCGCGA